rnacentral:misc_RNA from 1 species
AGCCAGGGAAGCAAGCCUGUGAUGUGCAUCAGGAGCCUUGUCUCUGCAUCCCCAAAUAUAGAAUCACAUGAGUGCACGGUGAUCCGGGAGAGAACCUCAAUAGAAACGCCAUGACUAACAGUUGACAUGAGCCCUUUAAGCACAAGAGGCUGCACCCCUUCAAAUGUUGGCAGAUUCCCACUGGAUGAUGCUAGUGAUUCAAUUCGUUGAAAAUCCCCAAUGUCAC